AACGCGUCCACUUGGCGCGACCACGUGUUUGGCGGCGUUUGGCGGCUUUGGGUACACUUCUGAGCUGGGGCUUUUUUGGCAGGUGGUCUGUCGUCUUCUCGGAACUCGGCAGUGGCUUUUUCACCCAGGUCAUGUUUGAGGCCUUGUCGAAGGGGUGGUGGCUGUGGCUAGGGAGACGGAGUAUUGCUGGGCAGGCUUGGCCCCUGCUCUAGGGCCUAGCACCGCGGGCUCAGAUCUGACCCCUGGGGGACUAGGCUGCGAGGAAGAAGAGUCCAGCUGGGGAGCUGUCAGAGCAGCCCUGCAAGUUAGGGCUGGGGUGCUGUGCAGCGACGCUGAAGCCCAGGGAACUGCUGGGAGGCGGUGACACGAAGUGGGAUUCAUAUGCUGGAGGAAGAAACCUGGGAAAAUAGGUUGGAUGAAUCAUCCUCCCCAUGCUAUAAAGAAAAUAAGGUACAGUGGAGUUAAGAACAACUCAGUAACAGCACUGGCAUCUCCAGACUCAGCCCGUCAGGCAGAGGAACGCGCAGGAAGAGGAAUGGCUGCUGCUGUCCCCUCGGCCCGGCCCCAGGACUUCCAGUGUCCCGGCCUGGCAUGAGCUUUCAGUCGGAACAAAGGCAAGGCACCUGGAUGUCAGAGGGAGAUGAUGUAAGCAGCACCUGUCCAGGUAAACAAGCAAUAAGCCAGUAAGCUUUAGAGCCAGAGCCCUUCUAACACACACAGUACUGUGACAGAUUAUUCUAACAACCCUGCCAGGUAGGUACUAUUAUACACAUUUUACUGAUGGGGAAAUCAAGCUGAGUUAACUCUAUAGUUGAGAGACUCAAAGCUGGCAAGUAGCACGAGGCUGGGAGUGAACCAAGGCUCACUCACUGCUCCUUAGCCCCACCCCGAGGUGUGCGGCAGGUGUGGAAUGACCAGGUCAUCCUCGCGGCCUGGCACAUUGCCUGCUUAGAGUCCCUGCUGAGGAUCUCAGGUGCCACCUUUGCCCAUCUGCACAAGCACUGCAGUGCAUGAGCAAGCCUCUCAUGCAGCAUGCUCACCAACCCUCUCCAGAUAACCACCUUUGAAAUCUGCCGGAUUUGGUGAUGAAAAAAUUUCAUCUUAUUUGGCAUCGGUCAUCUGUUGUUUUUUUGUUUGGUUGUUUUGAUUUUUGGUCUUUUUUAGUGGUACUGGGGUUCAAACCCAGGAGCACUCUACCACUGAGCUAUAUCCCCAGCCCCAGCAGGAAGCCAGGGUCUAAGUUGCCCAGGCAGGACUUGAACUUGGAAUCUUCCUAUCUCAGCCUCCCUAAGUGCUGGGAUUCCAAACUUGAGCCACUGUACCCAGCUAGUGAGCAGCUUUGUAAGUUAUUUAAAUCUAGUAAGUAGAUUGCUUCAAACCACCAGCAAGAAUUGUGAGACUCAGAAGAUCCAAGACAGCCCAAGAGCUGGCAAGAGCAGAGGAGUAGGAGUGUCAGGAACCUUCUUCCUGGGGCAGGAGGGGCAGUCUCUACUUCUUCCCCUUGAGUUCAGGAGGAGAAAAGGGGCUGUGGCAGCACGACCCAAGUCUCUGAAAAGCCCUCUGACACAGCUGCGUCCUGGAUGGGAGGAGUCACCGCAUCUGUCCCUGUCAGGGCCUGGCCAGACUCCUAAGCCUCUCGUGUACCUGUUCCCAAGGGAACCCAGCACAGCUGCUUUUCUGACUUUUCCAGCCUGGAAGACUGGCCCUGCCUGGCCAGCGGGGCACACCCUUUUGUGAGGUGCUCCCCGGGGAGCUGUAGCAGGGGACCAGUUUGAGGCCAGCCCUUUCUGAACAGAGGGCCCCUCCAGGAGCAGGGCCUGGCCUGUGUGAGACACGCUCCGAGCACUCCCAGAACUCUGCAGUCGUUACAUGGCGCAGAACGAAGCCGUUCAUGUGUAGCGAGUGCAAAGCCUUCAGCUACUGCUCCUCCCUUUCUCAGCAUCAGAAGAGCCACACCCAGGAGAAGCCCUGUGAUUGCGGGCGGGCCUUCAGCCAGAACACAGAACCUCCCAACACUGGUGCACACGCACCGGGGAGCCCUAUGCGUGCAGCCAUUGCAGCAAGGCCUUCAGCCAGAGCACCAGUCUCACCAUCCACCAGAAGACACACACCAGGGAGAAGCCGUAUCAGUGUG
ensembl:lncRNA